UGUAAUUUAUGUUGGUUCGUAGGUUGGU
rnacentral:sRNA from 1 species